rnacentral:lncRNA from 1 species
GGAAACAAAAAACAAAAAAUAGAAAAAAUAAAGAGCAAGAGAUAUGGCAAGCACAUUCUCUUAUAAUUCUUUUGGAUUCCUUCUCAUUCUUGUCGCCUCUAGUUCCUUGAUAAAUAUAAGUUCAGCUGGUAGGCAAAUUGCCCCUAAAACUAGCAUUGAGUUUAUCAGAACAUCUUGUAGUUCAACGACUUACCCUAAACUUUGUUACGAAUCUCUCUUAACACAGGCUAGCAUGAUCCAAACAAGCCCCCAACUCAUCGCCCAUGCAGCCCUAAACGUGACCCUUUCAACCGCCAAGUCAACCUCGGCCAUGAUGGUGAAGCUUGCCAAAAGCCAAGGAUUGAAGCCUACAGAGGUGGGCGCCAUGCAAGAUUGCGUGGAGGAAUUGGAGGACACGAUAGAUGAGCUGAGAAAGUCAAUCAGCGAGAUGGGUCAGAUUAAAGGCUCCAAUUUUGGACUAAUGAUUAACGAUAUACAGACAUGGGUUAGCGCUGCUUUGACGGAUGAGAACACCUGCGCCGACGGGUUUGGAGGGAAAAACAUGAACGGCAGUAUAAAGACUGCUGUGAGAUCCAAGAUUGUCACAAUCGCUCAUUUGACAAGUAAUGCCUUGGCUUUGGUCAACAGCUAUGCUUCAUUUCAUGGUUAGCUAUUUAAUCAACUGUACAGGGGAAAUUUAGUCAUUAUUUACGGUAGCAAUUGUAUUUAUGGAUUUUUAGAAACUACUUCUGUUUUCCUGGUAAAUGUAAAAUAUAUAUGUGGUCCAAAGAAGGGAAUGGAGAUGUGUGUGUGUGUGUGUGU